rnacentral:rRNA from 1 species
UACGAGGGGGGGCAAGCGUUGUUCGGAAUUAUUGGGCGUAAAGGGCGCGUAGGCGGUGCGGUAAGUCACCUGUGAAACCUCUAGGCUCAACCUAGAGCCUGCAGGCGAAACUGCCGUGCUCGAGUGCGGCAGAGGAGACUGGAAUUCCUGGUGUAGCAGUGAAAUGCGUAGAUAUCAGGAGGAACACCGAUGGCGAAGGCAGGUCUCUGGGCUGACACUGACGCUCAUGCACGAAAGCGUGGGGAGCAAACAGG